ACUAACAAGGAUUCCCCUAGUAACUGCGAGUGAAGCGGGAAAAGCUCAAAUUUAAAAUCUGGCGGUCUCUGGCCGUCCGAGUUGUAAUCUAGAGAAGUAAUGCCCGUGCUGGACCGUGUAUAAGUCUCCUGGGAUGGGGCGUCAUAGAGGGUGAGAAUCCCGUCUUUGACACGGACUACCAGUGCAUUGUGGUAUGCUCUCAAAGAGUCGAGUUGUUUGGGAAUGCAGCUCAAAAUGGGUGGUAAAUUCCAUCUAAAGCUAAAUAUUGGCGAGAGACCGAUAGCGAACAAGUACCGUGAGGGAAAGAUGAAAAGAACUUUGGAAAGAGAGUUAAACAGUACGUGAAAUUGCUGAAAGGGAAACGCUUGAAGUCAGUCGCGUUGGCCGGGGAUCAGCCUUGCUUUUGCAUGGUGUACUUUCUGGUUGACGGGUCAGCAUCAAUUUUGACCGCUGGAAAAAGACCUGGGGAAUGUGGCAGCUUCGGCUGUGUUAUAGCCCCUAGUCGCAUACAGUGGUUGGGAUUGAGGAACUCAGCACGCCGCAAGGCCGGGUUUCGACCACGUUCGUGCUUAGGAUGCUGGCAUAAUGGCUUUAAGCGACCCGUCUUGAAACACGGACCAAGGAGUCUAACAUGCCUGCGAGUAUUUGGGUGGAAAACCCAAGUGCGUAAUGAAAGUGAAAGUUGAGAUCCCUGUCGUGGGGAGCAUCGACGCCCGGACCAGAACUUUUGGGACGGAUCCGCGGUGGAGCAUGUAUGUUGGGACCCGAAAGAUGGUGAACUAUGCCUGAAUAGGGUGAAGCCAGAGGAAACUCUGGUGGAGGCUCGUAGCGAUUCUGACGUGCAAAUCGAUCGUCGAAUUUGGGUAUAGG
rnacentral:rRNA from 1 species